CAGAUCCCCCCGGGACCCCCGAGCCCCCGGAGCGGAACCUGAGCGCGGAGGGAAACGCCUCGGCAGGUGACCUCGGCCGGGCGGGCGGGCCCAGGGGGGCGGGGCCUUUGAUGACGUCAUUGGGGAUCCUGCUGCCCAUUGGGCUGGCGCUGUGCCUGGGGGUCGCGGGGCGGGCGCUGUGGCGGGGGUGGCGCCGGCGCAGCACCAACAGCAUCAGCUUCAGCAACGCCGCCUUCCGGAAAGAUCCGGAACACCUGGAGGGGGCGGGGCUCGGCGAGACCCAGUGGCCGCUGACGGCUGAGGACGACGAGCCCUGAGGGUCCGGGGAGACGAGACCCCCCUGGGGACACCUGGGGAC